rnacentral:rRNA from 1 species
AAAGGUAGUCAUAUCACCCUGAAACUCACAAUUACCAGCCCACUGAAGCUAAGCAGGUGUGAGCCUGGUCAGUACCUAGCUGAGAGACCUCCUGGGAAAAACUAAGGUUGCUGCUGGAA